rnacentral:rRNA from 1 species
GUUUGAUCCUGGCUCAGAUUGAACGCUGGCGGCAUGCUUUACACAUGCAAGUCGAACGGCAGCACGGGGGCAACCCUGGUGGCGAGUGGCGAACGGGUGAGUAAUAUAUCGGAACGUACCCGGAAAUGGGGGAUAACGUAGCGAAAGUUACGCUAAUACCGCAUAUGCCCUAAGGGGGAAAGCGGGGGAUUCGCAAGAACCUCGCGUUUUCGGAGCGGCCGAUAUCGGAUUAGCUAGUAGGUGAGGUAAAGGCUCACCUAGGCGACGAUCCGUAGCUGGUCUGAGAGGACGACCAGCCACACUGGAACUGAGACACGGUCCAGACUCCUACGGGAGGCAGCAGUGGGGAAUUUUGGACAAUGGCGCAAGCCUGAUCCAGCCAUGCCGCGUGAGUGAAGAAGGCCUCGGUGUAAG